ACCCAACGCCCAUUCUUCCAAACCUUCCAUCUCACAACCGCUUCUUCAUCCGUGUUUCUCUAACCCAUCCAUGGUGGAACAAGCGUGCAAAGCUAAGAUGCAUGAAGGGGUUUCUGCGUCCUGAUGAUUCGGAUCUGAGUGCACUGCGGAUCACUUGAACGGAGUGUUUGCGGCGGAAGCCCACACUACUCAAGUUCAGAGAUGGUCUCACGGCAAAUGGGACAGACGAAGGACGUACGGAUGGAGCUGAGAGUGAGAGUGGGAUCCAUGGAUCUGAGCGGAGAAGUUGUGCUUAGAGAUUCCGUUUUGUCGAAUGGAAGAGAAGGGAUUGUGGCCGAUUUAGUUGGGGAGAUUUGGAAACAAGCCCUUUUUCUUUCUCUAAGGAAGGGGA